CUCCUCUCAGGGUCACACCUGGAGAGUUUCCAGUGCUCUACCAGUUUCAGCUAUGGGAGGGAGAGUCACGCAGAGGCCUACCCAUUCCAUUCCUAGCUUGGGUAGUAGCUAGCGAGUAGAAGGCAAUCUGCUACAAAU
rnacentral:snoRNA from 1 species